rnacentral:rRNA from 1 species
AUUGAACGCUGGCGGCAGGCUUAACACAUGCAAGUCGAGCGGAGUGAGGGUGCUUGCACCUUAGCUUAGCGGCGGACGGGUGAGUAAUGCUUAGGAAUCUGCCUAUUAGUGGGGGACGACAUUCCGAAAGGAAUGCUAAUACCGCAUACGCCCUACGGGGGAAAGCAGGGGAUCUUCGGACCUUGCGCUAAUAGAUGAGCCUAAGUCGGAUUAGCUAGUUGGUGGGGUAAAGGCCUACCAAGGCGACGAUCUGUAGCGGGUCUGAGAGGAUGAUCCGCCACACUGGGACUGAGACACGGCCCAGACUCCUACGGGAGGCAGCAGUGGGGAAUAUUGGACAAUGGGCGGAAGCCUGAUCCAGCCAUGCCGCGUGUGUGAAGAAGGCCUUUUGGUUGUAAAGCACUUUAAGCGAGGAGGAGGCUCUUAAGGUUAAUACCCUUGAUGAGUGGACGUUACUCGCAGAAUAAGCACCGGCUAACUCUGUGCCAGCCGCCGCUGUAAGAC